GAGUCUAUAGCUCAGUUGGUUAGAGCGCAUCGUUGACAUCGAUGAGGUCAGAGGUCCGAGUCCUCUUAGACUCA
rnacentral:tRNA from 6 species